rnacentral:rRNA from 1 species
GACGAACGCUGGCGGCGUGCUUAACACAUGCAAGUCGAAGGAAGUGGCGCACGGGUGAGUAAUAUAUAGCUAAUCUGCCCCUUGCUGGAGGACAACAGUUAGAAAUGACUGCUAAUACUCCAUAGCAAGGGAUGAGACUAUAUCGUAUCAGCUAGUUGGUGAGGUAACGGCUCACCAAGGCCACGAUGCAUAGCCGACCUGAGAGGGUGAUCGGCCACAUUGGAACUGAGACACGGUCCAAACUCCUACGGGAGGCAGCAGUAGGGAAUAUUGCGCAAUGGGGGAAACCCUGACGCAGCAACGCCGCGUGGAGGAUGACACUUUUCGGAGCGUAAACUCCUUUUGUUAGGGAAGCGGUACCUAACGAAUAAGCACCGGCUAACUCCGUGCCAGCAGCCGCGGUAAUC